GUUUCAUGAUACGGUGUGGUCCUCUUGAAGAGGUGGUCAAUGGACAGAAUAAACACAUAGAGGAGCAGCAUGUUGAGCAACAAGGAAGCUGUUUUUGGUGAAGCUCAGUGACACCACUGUGUCUGCAGAAGCUCUUUAUGCAAUCUUUUACAUACCAGCUGAUUUUAAUUAUCAUCAUAAUUUCCCCAUUUCAACAGACACUAGAAAACAGUCCUCAUAAACAAUAGCAUAGUUAUGACUUUGCAUGUUCAAAACAAAUCCGAGAAUCCUUAUCUUAUAAAAUGUUCUUUUUAAUUGAAUAUGUGAUUAUUUUACGGUGGUGUUGCUGUUGAAAGUCCUCAGUAGCCUGCUACAGAGAAUAUGCUGUGUGCCAUCUCUCACUCAUUAAAUGUUUAAACAAGAUGCCAUUAGUAUUGAUUAAUUCAGCUGCAAAUGAACACUUAAUCUUAAAAUAGGCAAUGAUCACUGUAUUCUGAAUUUUAGGCUUGCUGAGUUUAUUCUGAAGUGAUAAUUUAGGACCUCAGAUAAGGUGUUAUGAAUUAUAUUUUCAGAAGUAGCAUUUUAAUAGGAUAUGAAUUUAAAGAUGAAAAAUCUGUAUGGCAAGCCAAACAGCAGCUUUGCUGAAUUACUGUUUUGAAAGUUUUGAAUGUGCUUUGACUUAAAGCAUUCUGUAUUUGAUACAAUUAAAAAUAAUACUUACAUCUCA